UCAAACUUGGUCAUUUAGAGGAAGUAAAAGUCGUAACAAGGUUUCCGUAGGUGAACCUGCGGAAGGAUCAUUAAUGAAUAAAACUCAGGUUGGAUUUGUUGCUGGCUGUUUUUUUUUUUGGGCAGCAAGUGCACAGUCUGAACUGAUGUUUGGUUUAUUCUUAUUCAACCCCUUGUGCAUUUGUGUAGAUUCUGAACUAUUCUCAAGUAAGAAUAAUUGUGUUUUUACUUGGUUUUGAUAAGACUUGCUGUGUGCAUGAGUACAGCUUUUCUUGAUUGUUCAGAUCUAUGUUUUUAUAUUACCAACUUCAAUUGGAGAAUGGCUUCAGAAUAUGUAUUAUUGCAAAAUUAUACAACUUUCAACAACGGAUCUCUUGGCUCUCGCAUCGAUGAAGAACGCAGC
rnacentral:misc_RNA from 1 species